rnacentral:rRNA from 1 species
GGGCCCGCACAAGCGGUGGAGCAUGUGGUUUAAUUCGAUGAUACGCGAGGAACCUUACCAGGGCUUAAAUGCAGAGCGACAGAGGUGGAAACACCUCCUUCUUCGGACGGUCUGCAAGGUGCUGCAUGGUUGUCGUCAGCUCGUGCUGUGAAGUGUCGGGUUAAGUCCCAUAACGAGCGCAACCCCUAUUUCUAGUUGCCAGCGGUUCGGCCGGGGACUCUAGAGAAACUGCCAGCGUAAGCUGUGAGGAAGGUGGGGAUGACGUCAAAUCAUCACGGCCCUUACGUCCUGGGCCACACACGUGCUACAAUGGUAAGGACAGAGAGUUGCCAACCCGCGAGUAGGAGCG